rnacentral:lncRNA from 1 species
UUUUUAGGAAUCCAAGGCAGGCCAACAUAUUGAAAUAAUAGCUACAAAACUCCUAACCUUCUUUGGGGGUCAUACACAGCAUACUAUACUUGGGAAUGGCAUUCUGACACAUUUAUUACAUAAUAAUGCUAUUAUAUGUAAUGCUAUUCUGACACAUUUGUUAGGUAACAUUAAUGGCUUUGAGUGGGACUUAGAACAAGAAAAGGCUCUGAAACAGAUCCAAGAUGUUGUUUGAGCCAUGCAACUAGAAGAUCUCAUAGAACUAAAGUUAUCUAAUUUACAGAAAAGGUUUUACGUGACGUCUAUUGUACAGAUUCAUAUGAAAACCAUAGUUCAAACUCCAAGGUUUAAGAAGUAAGAAAGAUCAUGCCAUUUGCAACAAACAUGCAUGCAUAUUUGAAAAGCAACUGUAAGUAUGCUAUUGGACAUUGGUAAAGAUUGAAUAUCUGACCAUGGCAUAUCAAGAAACCAUGGAAUGAGUACUGCUUAUCAAGAUCUGGGUGUGAGAAGACUUAAAAAGUCAGAUAGUCAGUGAGAACCAGCUAGAAUCCAUGUGAAAAAGUGGGAAGAUGAAGUGUUUGGAGGGCUUUUAAAUGGAGUAAAAUGGAAACAAAGACAAGUUAUCCCAACACCAAAAAGAGUAGGGGAUAGAAGGAUAUGUCAAGGUUUGAAAACCAUCCUUCAGAAAUGCAGGAAAGUCAAAGCUAGAAAUUUCUUUUAUGGUACCCAGGAUUUGUUUUAAUUAAGUUUGAUAAGGCACACAGGCACGAACGUGAUUGUGGUUAAUAAAGGCAUUUGCAUUAUUCUCACGGUCUCCUAAAAAUAGAAGGCCCAGCACACUAUGCCUGGGAAGUAUCUGCAUGAGAUGAGCAGGCAGAGAGGAGAGCUGAGGGCAGGGCCUUGACUGGAGUUUUUGUUGGGAGGAAUGGACAAUGGAAAGCACGCAAGCCAAAUCUGUUGUGGGAAAACUAGAAGACCAAAAAAAGCACGAAAGUCAAGAAAGAAGUCUCUUUUCACAUGAAAGUGGCUGUGCUAAUGGUCUAUCAAGAUAUCCUGAGUUUCCAGUAGAGAUGUUUCAGCCAUAACACAGGCCUGGUAGAAAAAGCCUGAAGACAAAUACUGCUAUGAAUGGUUACAUCUAGGACUUCUGAAAUUAGCCCCAGAUUCAACUCAUUUUUUUCUGCAUUUGCUGAGCAAUAUGACAUGUUUACACCGAUUAGCUAAAAAGUUAUGUGAAGAAUGGGCAACAAUAUCUCUAA